UCCUUCAUUUCUUUUCUUAAGCUUUCCUCUCACUUUUCUCUUUGGUUUUUAUACAAAAAUCAUGAUCUACUCAAAUCUAACCGUCCAAACUCAAAUCCGUCUUCGGUAACGUGAUCUAUGAAGCCCGAUCUACGUUUUCACCAAUCGUUUUAAGGAUUUGCACGGUUUAGAGCUUCUUAAACACUUCUCUAGUGUUGGAUUUCAUUUGGGCAAGUUUUGACGUUUAUACUUUGGUUGCAGGUUUUGCGGAUAUAGAUAUUGACUCGUCCACCUAGCGUAUGGGAUGCUAUGAUUGGAGUAUAUCGCAACAGUCAUAAGUCACGAACUUAUGGGUAGUCCGCAUUUUGGGUAUUUUAUUUAUGGCUCGUGUCCUAUGUGGCACAUGUAUUUGUUGAGCCUAUAUUUUAGUAUGUAAUUAGUGUAAUAUGUUUAAUAAGCCUUUAAAUAGAGAGACUUGUAAAUGGCUCUUGUUGUAAUUAACUGUUAUGUAUUAGAUGUAUU